rnacentral:rRNA from 1 species
GUAGUAAAGAGAAUGAUUAGAGUCUUUGGGGAAGAAACAUCAUUAACGUCGUAUCAAAUUUUAAAUAUGUAAGAACGAGCCGUCACUUGAUUGGACCGCUCGGUGAUUGUAGAGUUUCUAGUGGGCCAUUUUUGGUAAGCAGAACUGGCGAUGCGGGAUGAACCGAUCGUGAGGUUAAGGUGCCGGAGUUCACGCUCAUCAGACACCACAAAAGGUGUUAGUUCAUCUAGACAGCAGGACGGUGGCCAUGGAAGUCGGAAUCCGCUAAGGAGUGUGUAACAACUCACCUGCCGAAUGAACUAGCCCUGAAAAUGGAUGGCGCUCAAGCGUGACACCCAUACCUCACCGUCAACGUUGAAGUGAUGCGUUGACGAGUAGGCAGGCGUGGAGGUUUGUGAAGAAGUU